rnacentral:rRNA from 1 species
UCUCAGGCCCUAAUCAGCCUGUACAAGGCGCCCGAGUCUCGUCUGGAUCUCGAAGCUAAGCAGCGUCGGGCCCUGUUUAGGAUCUGGAUGGAGAACCACCUGGGAAUCCCGGGUUGCGUUCGAG